UACGUAGGGUGCGAGCGUUUGUCCGGAAUUAUUGGGCGUAAAGAGCUCGUAGGCGGUUUGUCGCGUCGGCCGUGAAAACUUGGGGCUUAACCCCAAGCCUGCGGUCGAUACGGGCAGACUUGAGUUCGGCAGGGGAGACUGGAAUUCCUGGUGUAGCGGUGAAAUGCGCAGAUAUCAGGAAGAACACCCGUGGCGAAGGCGGCUCUCUGGGACGGUACUGACGCUGAGACGCGAAAGCGUGGGGAGCGAACAGG
rnacentral:rRNA from 1 species